rnacentral:rRNA from 1 species
GUGAUCUAGCCAUGGGCAGGUUGAAGGUUGGGUAACACUAACUGGAGGACCGAACCGACUAAUGUUGAAAAAUUAGCGGAUGACUUGUGGCUGGGGGUGAAAGGCCAAUCAAACCGGGAGAUAGCUGGUUCUCCCCGAAAGCUAUUUAGGUAGCGCCUCGUGAAUUCAUCUCCGGGGGUAGAGCACUGUUUCGGCAAGGGGGUCAUCCCGACUUACCAACCCGAUGCAAACUGCGAAUACCGGAGAAUGUUAUCACGGGAGACACACGGCGGGUGCUAACGUCCGUCGUGAAGAGGGAAACAACCCAGACCGCCAGCUAAGGUCCCAAAGUCAUGGUUAAGUGGGAAACGAUGUGGGAAGGCCCAGACAGCCAGGAUGUUGGCUUAGAAGCAGCCAUCAUUUAAAGAAAGCGUAAUAGCUCACUGGUCGAGUCGGCCUGCGCGGAAGAUGUAACGGGGCUAAACCAUGCACCGAAGCUGCGGCAGCGACACUGUGUGUUGUUGGGUAGGGGAGCGUUCUGUAAGCCUGUGAAGGUGUGCUGUGAGGCAUGCUGGAGGUAUCAGAAGUGCGAAUGCUGACAUAAGUAACGAUAAAGCGGGUGAAAAGCCCGCUCGCCGGAAGACCAAGGGUUCCUGUCCAACGUUAAUCGGGGCAGGGUGAGUCGACCCCUAAGGCGAGGCCGAAAGGCGUAGUCGAUGGGAAACAGGUUAAUAUUCCUGUACUUGGUGUUACUGCGAAGGGGGGACGGAGAAGGCUAUGUUGGCCGGGCGACGGUUGUCCCGGUUUAAGCGUGUAGGCUGGUUUUCCAGGCAAAUCCGGAAAAUCAAGGCUGAGGCGUGAUGACGAGGCACUACGGUGCUGAAGCAACAAAUGCCCUGCUUCCAGGAAAAGCCUCUAAGCAUCAGGUAACAUCAAAUCGUACCCCAAACCGACACAGGUGGUCAGGUAGAGAAUACCAAGGCGCUUGAGAGAACUCGGGUGAAGGAACUAGGCAAAAUGGUGCCGUAACUUCGGGAGAAGGCACGCUGAUAUGUAGGUGAAGUCCCUCGCGGAUGGAGCUGAAAUCAGUCGAAGAUACCAGCUGGCUGCAACUGUUUAUUAAAAACACAGCACUGUGCAAACACGAAAGUGGACGUAUACGGUGUGACGCCUGCCCGGUGCCGGAAGGUUAAUUGAUGGGGUCAGCGCAAGCGAAGCUCUUGAUCGAAGCCCCGGUAAACGGCGGCCGUAACUAUAACGGUCCUAAGGUAGCGAAAUUCCUUGUCGGGUAAGUUCCGACCUGCACGAAUGGCGUAAUGAUGGCCAGGCUGUCUCCACCCGAGACUCAGUGAAAUUGAACUCGCUGUGAAGAUGCAGUGUACCCGCGGCAAGACGGAAAGACCCCGUGAACCUUUACUAUAGCUUGACACUGAACAUUGAGCCUUGAUGUGUAGGAUAGGUGGGAGGCUUUGAAGUGUGGACGCCAGUCUGCAUGGAGCCGACCUUGAAAUACCACCCUUUAAUGUUUGAUGUUCUAACGUGGACCCGUGAUCCGGGUUGCGGACAGUGUCUGGUGGGUAGUUUGACUGGGGCGGUCUCCUCCUAAAGAGUAACGGAGGAGCACGAAGGUUGGCUAAUCCUGGUCGGACAUCAGGAGGUUAGUGCAAUGGCAUAAGCCAGCUUGACUGCGAGCGUGACGGCGCGAGCAGGUGCGAAAGCAGGUCAUAGUGAUCCGGUGGUUCUGAAUGGAAGGGCCAUCGCUCAACGGAUAAAAGGUACUCCGGGGAUAACAGGCUGAUACCGCCCAAGAGUUCAUAUCGACGGCGGUGUUUGGCACCUCGAUGUCGGCUCAUCACAUCCUGGGGCUGAAGUAGGUCCCAAGGGUAUGGCUGUUCGCCAUUUAAAGUGGUACGCGAGCUGGGUUUAGAACGUCGUGAGACAGUUCGGUCCCUAUCUGCCGUGGGCGCUGGAGAACUGAGGGGGGCUGCUCCUAGUACGAGAGGACCGGAGUGGACGCAUCACUGGUGUUCGGGUUGUCAUGCCAAUGGCACUGCCCGGUAGCUAAAUGCGGAAGAGAUAAGUGCUGAAAGCAUCUAAGCACGAAACUUGCCCCGAGAUGAGUUCUCCCUGACCCUUUAAGGGUCCUGAAGGAACGUUGAAGACGACGACGUUGAUAGGCCGGGUGUGUAAGCGCAGCGAUGCGUUGAGCUAACCGGUACUAAUGAACCGUGAGGCUUAACCUU